UUGUUUCGUUUGCUGUGUUUCUUUUCUUUUUGCAGCAGGGCCGAGCGCAAAUCGUGGCACCGCACCUACUAAUGGCACUUCCGGUGGCAAGUGCCACUGCUUUCGGGACUAGCUG